ensembl:lncRNA
CCUCACGCAACACCGACAUUACUACCGACUGAGAACACACAGCACUUUUCAGCCAGCCGAUUACUCUUAUGAAAUUCUAUUUCUCUCUUCCUCGUACUUUAUCAUUCACCACUGCAACACCCUGAAUCCUGUGCCUACCAGAAGGGGAGCCUCAUCAUUGUCUUGCUUCAGUUAGGGAACUCUCUGUACCUUGCUUAGAUUUAUUAGAGACUUCUAUUGAGAAUCUCAACCUAAUGUUGUUUGUUGAUGGAUCACACCUCAGAAGUGAAACUGGAGAUUAUCAAACAGGAUAGGAUAUGCUCUCCUUUCGAAUCGAGUCCUCUACCUGAGGUAACAUCAGCCCAGAUGGCAGAAGUCGUUGAGCUUACUAGAGCUUGUCAACUAGCCAACGACCAGAGAGGAAACAGAUAUACAGAUGGCAAGUAAGCUCUUGGAGGAGUGCAUGACUUUGAGAUGCUUUUCUCACCUCUGCUGUAACCACCAUAAAAACGGACAGGAAGUUAAGGAACUUUUAGAUGUCCUCUUCCUUGCUAAAGCGGUGGCUAUUAUAGAGGUUGAGCCCACGUGAAAAGAGAUAAUAUGAAAGCUACAGCAAAUGCUCUAACAGGUCCUUAUGCCAAACAAGCUGCUUUAACCAAAGCUAGGAUCCUAUCUAAAUCCUCAAAGGAUAUAUUGCUGGGGGGAUUCAAAGAGGCCAUUAUAAAAUAUCAACGCAACAAAUACCGACAACAGACAACAAAAGCCGCCAUGUGCUUUUACAGGAAGCACAUGGGAAACAAAAUGACAUAGGAGGUUGAAAAUAAAGGGAUGAAAAACCAUAUGAAGCAAGUAAUAAAAGAAGGUUAAUUGCUAAUAUAUGACGAAGUAAUAUUCUACUACAUCAAAAGGCAAAAAGAAGAAAUAGAAAUAUUUUAUACUUAUUAAAGAAAAAUCAACUACAAACCUAUCUCCUUCAUGAGUAGUCCUACCCUGGUGGGGUGUAGGCUCAUUUCUGAGAAUGUUUUGCUCCAUGUCUGCGUCCUGCUUGGCUUUGGGUCUCUUCGCUUGGCAUUGGGUCUUCCCAGAAAAAAAUCUCUCUUGUGCUUCUCUUGUGUGUAUGUCUCUGUUAUUUUUUCUUGACACUUGUUAGCGUGGUGGUGAGAGAUGCAGGGACAAAGAUGUUUUCUGAUCCUAGGACUGGGCCUCAGUCCUGGCCAAUCCCUGUGCACCUGGCGCUGGGGGCGUGGCCUCACAAAUGGUCUUGCCCCUCCUCCAGACCUAGUGCUGGGCUUUGCUCUAGUCCUGCCCUUCUUCCAGGGGUAGAGCCUUUUUUUUUUCUCAGCUGAUUGCUUCAGCCCCCUCCAGUACAGUUUGUGUUGCUCUUCCUCCUGAAGAUUCAGGCUUUUGCUUCUUAGGGGAGAUAGGUCUUGGUGGAGUUUUAGCAGGGGCUGCCAUUCCCCUCCCCCAGCCAGCCCUCAGCUGAGCACCUGGUGGGGUUCCUGAGAGAAACACACCUGUAAGAGUUUGCAGAACUCCUCUGUGUCUGGGAUUCAUGUUCUUCACAUAGCCCCCACGCAGCCUUUAGGAAUUCCUUGAAAGCUGCUGUCUGAAUCUCCUGUGGACUUCCGUGGUGUCUGGUAGUCCGCCCCAGGUGCUUCAGGAAUACAAAGAUGAGGCAAAGGCCCUGCCAUCAAAGAGCUCACGGUUUGCAGAAAGAGAAAGGCAAAGGCAGCUAUAAUCCCAAGGGAAAGUUGUAUGGUCCACUAAGUUCUACCACGAAACCUCUCAGAAGUCCAGGAUGCCGAUGACCCAGAGAAGCAUGGGCUCUCUCGGAUGACUGCAGUCUCUGUGGGGUCUUCUCUCCUUCAUGCUGGCUCAACGUCUCAAGUCUUCCAUGUUGACCACUCACCUGACUGACUUUAUUCCAGCCUUGAAGUACAAAGGAGCCACAUCUGGGUUACAACUGAACCGCUGGUCUCGUCCUGCUCCAGCCAGCACAACCUGGCUGCACUUUUAUUGACCUCAUUGGGCCCUGAAUGCUGAAAGUCUGUUCAGUGGUCAAGUGUUUCUAUAAUAUUAAUACUUUAACAUUCUUCAUUGGGUUUAUGUUACCUCCAAACCACCCUCAUAAAUACAACUAGAUCUGGACAAUGGAGACAUAGGUAUUCAGGUGAUUAUUCCUAUACAUACUCAAUUUCUCCUGUCUACACUCCCAUUAAACAGUACCAUGUGCCAGAAAAAGAACCAGUCCAUUGUUCUCUCACUGCUAAAGUAUUCUGCCUCCUUCUGAACACCCUCAUGAAAGUCUCCGGUCAUAUUUACAAUUUUCCACAAGUGUAUCAAAAUAGAUGGAAGUAACCUGCUCCUCCUGCCUCCUUGAGUCAUGCCCAGGACUGAGUUUAACUAGGUGAUUUAGGGGUGUUAGACAUUCGUGCUGGGAAAAUAACUGCUGAUUUGGUUUAAAGGGUCAUUGAGCAAGGCUAACACACUGCCUGAACCCCAGCGUCAUCUGCUUCCACAUCCCCAAAAUACUAUGCUCCAGUUAGAUGGAAUGUAUUUGUUUCUACAGCGUGGCCAGGAUCUCUCUCACUUCCAAGUUUUUGCAAAUGCUGUUCCCCCUCUCCUGUUCAACCCUCCCGUCUCUUGUUGCCUUGCAAACUCCCACUCAUCCUCCCACACCGCCUAAACUGGGUCCCCUAGGAUUUAUCACGUGUUGCUACUGCUUAUUCGUCUUUCCUAGGAGACCUAAAUUCCUAAGGGCCUCAUCCUGUGCCUGUCUUGCUCAGCAUC